GACGAACGCUGGCGGCACGCUUAACACAUGCAAGUCGAACGGAGAUAAUUUGAGUUUACUUAGAUUAUCUUAGUGGCGGACGGGUGAGUAACACGUGAGCAACCUACCUUUGAGAGAGGGAUAGCUUCUGGAAACGGAUGGUAAUACCUCAUAACGUAGUUUUACCGCAUGAUAGGACUACCAAAGAUUUAUCACUCAAAGAUGGGCUCGCGUCUGAUUAGCUAGAUGGUGAGGUAACGGCUCACCAUGGCGACGAUCAGUAGCCGGACUGAGAGGUUGAACGGCCACAUUGGGACUGAGACACGGCCCAGACUCCUACGGGAGGCAGCAGUGGGGAAUAUUGCACAAUGGGGGAAACCCUGAUGCAGCGAUGCCGCGUGGAGGAAGAAGGUUUUCGGAUUGUAAACUCCUGUCUUAAAGGACGAUAAUGACGGUACUUUAGGAGGAAGCUCCGGCUAACUACGUGCCAGCAGCCGCGGUAAAAGUACUCUAU
rnacentral:rRNA from 1 species